rnacentral:lncRNA from 1 species
UAGGCUUUUUUGCACAUGCUUAGGUAGUAGCUUAAUUUUAUGGAUAGUUUGGUUUAUUUUGUGGAUGCAUGUAAUCAAAUUCACAAUUCAAUAUAGUAGUAAUUUAUAUUGAAAAGUGAAUUUGAGAUGCAUAUAUGGAUAGUUUGGUAUAUAUUUUGUGGAUGUAGUAAUUUGAAACUGUAAACGAAUGGUAUUAUUGGGAUGUAUUUUGAAUGGUUGAUACAUUUUGGCUUUAAAUUUAAAUGAGAAUUUAG